rnacentral:rRNA from 1 species
CACGUAGGGCGCAAGCGUUGUCCGGAAUUAUUGGGCGUAAAGAGCUCGUAGGCGGUCUGUUGCGUCCGCUGUGAAAACUCGGGGCUUAACCCCGAGCCUGCAGUGGAUACGGGCAGACUAGAGGUAGGUAGGGGAGAAUGGAAUUCCCGGUGUAGCGGUGAAAUGCGCAGAUAUCGGGAGGAACACCGGUGGCGAAGGCGGUUCUCUGGGCCUUACCUGACGCUGAGGAGCGAGGGCGUGGGGAGCGAACAGG